UGAGGAAUAUUGGGUCAAUGGACGCAAGUCUGAACCAGCCAAGUCGCGUGCAGGAAUAAGGCCCUAUGGGUCGCAGACUGCUUUUGCAUGAGAAUAAAAAGUGGGACGAGUCCCACUCUGUAGGUAUCAUGCGAAUAAGGAUCGGCUAACUCCGUGCCAGCAGCCGCGGUAAUACGGAGGAUCCGAGCGUUAUCCGGAUUCAUUGGGUUUAAAGGGUGCGCAGGCGGGUCUGUAAGCCCGUGGUGAAAGCCUGGUGCUCAACGCCAGAGGUGCCGCGGGAACUGCAGGUCUUGAGUCGUGACGAGGGCGGCGGAAUGCGAAGUGUAGCGGUAGAAAUGCUUAGAUAGUU
rnacentral:rRNA from 1 species